rnacentral:rRNA from 1 species
UACGGGGGGGGCAAGCGUUGUUCGGAAUUACUGGGCGUAAAGGGCCAGUAGGCGGCCAACUAAGUCGGAUGUGAAAUCCCCAGGCUCAACUUGGGAACUGCAUCCGAUACUGGAUGGCUUGAAUUCGGGAGAGGGAUGCAGAAUUCCAGGUGUAGCGGUGAAAUGCGUAGAUAUCGGGAGGAACACCAAUGGCGAAGGCAGCUCGCUGGGACGUUACUGACGCUGAGACGCGAAAGCGUGGGGAGCAAACAGGG